rnacentral:rRNA from 1 species
CCUACGGGAGGCUGCAGUGAGGAAUAUUGGUCAAUGGCCGGAAGGCUGAACCAGCCAUGCCGCGUGAAGGUCAGUGCCCUAUGGGUUGUAAACUUCUUUUAUAAAGGAAUAAAACGAGGCACGUGUGCCUUUUUGCAUGUACUUUAUGAAUAAGGAUCGGCUAACUCCGUGCCAGCAGCCGCGGUAAUACGGAGGAUCCGAGCGUUAUCCGGAUUUAUUGGGUUUAAAGGGAGCGUAGAUGGGUUGUUAAGUCAGUUGUGAAAGUUUGCGGCUCAACCGUAAAAUUGCAAUUGAUACUGGCAGUCUUGAGGACAGUUGAGGUAGGCGGAAUUCGUGGUGUAGCGGUGAAAUGCUUAGAUAUCACGAAGAACCCCGAUUGCGAAGGCAGCUUACUAAACUGUGACUGACAUUGAUGCUCGAAAGUGUGGGUAUCAAACAGGAUUAGAUACCCCAGUAGUC